rnacentral:rRNA from 1 species
GGCGUGCCUAAUACAUGCAAGUCGAGCGAAUCAUAUGGGAGCUUGCUCUCGGAUGAUUAGCGGCGGACGGGUGAGUAACGCGUGAGCAACCUGCCCAUAAGAGGGGGACAACAGUUGGAAACGACUGCUAAUACCGCAUAAGACCACGCUAUCGCAUGAUAGAGGGGUCAAAGAUUUAUCGCUUAUGGAUGGGCUCGCGUCCCAUUAGGUAGUUGGUGAGGUAACGGCCCACCAAGCCGACGAUGGGUAGCCGACCUGAGAGGGUGAUCGGCCACACUGGAACUGAGACACGGUCCAGACUCCUACGGGAGGCAGCAGUGGGGAAUAUUGGGCAAUGGGGGAAACCCUGAUCCAGCAACGCCGCGUGAGGGAAGAAGGUCUUCGGAUUGUAAACCUCUGUCCUUGGGGACGAAGAAAGUGACGGUACCCAAGGAGGAAGCUCCGGCUAACUACGUGCCAGCAGCCGCGGUAAUACGUAGGGAGCAAGCGUUGUCCGGAAUCACUGGGCGUAAAGGGUGCGUAGGCGGUUAAUUAAGUCAGAUGUGAAAUCCCCGGGCUUAACCUGGGGGCUGCAUCUGAUACUGGUUGACUUGAGUGCAGGAGAGGAAAGCGGAAUUCCUAGUGUAGCGGUGAAAUGCAUAGAUAUUAGGAGGAACACCAGUGGCGAAGGCGGCUUUCUGGACUGCAACUGACGCUGAGGCACGAAAGCGUGGGGAGCAAACAGGAUUAGAUACCCUGGUAGUCCACGCUGUAAACGAUGGAUACUAGGUGUGGGGGUCAACAGACUUCUGUGCCGCAGCAAACGCAUUAAGUAUCCCGCCUGGGGAGUACGGUCGCAAGACUGAAACUCAAAGGAAUUGACGGGGGCCCGCACAAGCAGCGGAGCAUGUGGUUUAAUUCGAAGCAACGCGAAGAACCUUACCAAGGCUUGACAUCCUCUGACGAACGUAGAGAUACGUUUUCCCUUCGGGGCAGAGGGACAGGUGGUGCAUGGUUGUCGUCAGCUCGUGUCGUGAGAUGUUGGGUUAAGUCCCGCAACGAGCGCAACCCUUAUCACUAGUUGCCAGCGGUUCGGCCGGGAACUCUAGUGAGACUGCCGGGGACAACUCGGAGGAAGGUGGGGACGACGUCAAAUCAUCAUGCCCCUUAUGUCUUGGGCUACACACGUGCUACAAUGGCCGGUACAAAGGGCUGCGAUGCCGUAAGGUUGAGCGAAUCUCAAAAAGCCGGUCCCAGUUCGGAUUGUGGGCUGCAACCCGCCCACAUGAAGUCGGAGUUGC